GACUCCGCUGAGCUCAGCUGUCGUGCUUAUUCCUGAGUAUGUGCUGACUUGUGCAGUGGCGUUGCCUCUCUUGCUAUCUCUGCGUCUCCUCCGUUGCUUGUGCGUGAGUUCUGUCUAAUCACCCGUUCACAGGACGUCAUUCGUUUUGUUUCCACAUGAUGUUUGUCUUGCAACGACUGUCUAUCCAUCCCUCUCCUUCUGUUCCUCUCCAUCCCGCCUCAUCGCGCGGGCACAUUGAAGUCCACACCGACACACACGCCGAGAUGUUGGUAACAUUAAUGGAAGAGCAUGGCUGAGCGGAGGCGAAAAAGACCCCGUAAUGAGAAUACGAUGUCUCAGAUGGACGUUUUCGUGGCGGUCCUGGGCGACGAUGAGCGGCGGCUCAUCAAAGAUGUCAUUAGCGAGAGCGCUGAGAGCAUCCUUCUCCUCGUCUUUGUCGGAGAUGGCGGCGUAAGGAAGACGUUGCGCAAAGCGAUGCUCUACUUCUCUGCUCAAUCCAUCGACCCGAACCGAGACGUGUGCAAGGCCUUUCACAGUGUCUUUUGUGGAGGAAAAGGCUAAUGACCUCAUCCAGUACCGUUGCGAACAUCGCAGCGGCAUCAACGUUGUCGUCGAGGCUGAGAACGCCGCUCACGGCCGCUUCUCCAUAUGCGCAGCGAGCGUUGUACCACACAAGUCUUCUUUUGUUUGCUUUUCAGGAGCAGAGUUUUACGGUAGUGGUGUGCCGCACUGUGGAAUACACGACUGAGACGUUUCUCCGUCUAACAGACGGCGCGGCUGCGGUGCUUGGCUGUCACAUUCCUUCAGUGAGACUUUACAUUGAGGAGACGACGUGCAACUCUAUUGACCUUGGCCUCCUCGCUGCUGAGGCACGCGCAUCUAAGGAGAACCUGUCGUGCUGCUGCGUGGACCAUAAAGAACACGUCAGCUGCGGCGCCCGAUUUCAAGAUGUGCGCGCGUGGCCUUUGAUGAUCAGUGAAGAGAACCACUUUAGCGCUCUAGAGCAGGGACUGCACAAUAUGAACCUGAAUCGGCAGCUGACUGAGCGAGAAGCUGGCGUACGACAUCCAUGGGAACUGCACUUCUAUCAUGGGAGAGGCAGCAAAUGCGUUGCUGCUGGGCUUUCGCGUGAUGCCACCGCUCGCGGACGGCGACGCGCUGUACCGUAGCGUCUACCUCUCCCCCCGCACUGUAGGGUACGCCGUGGGGGGUCAGGUGUGUAGCUGAAGCCGGAAUGUGGCAUGGCGUAUGGGAACGGAAAGCUCAUCGCUGAAGAGACGCUGCUGUAACCAAACGAUCGCAUGAUUCUCGGUAAGGAUCUCGGCCUUCGUUUUGCUGAGGGAGGCACCGAGCUUCCACGUGCAAGCGGGUCGCGCAUUCUGGACUGGGAUCUCUGCUACAAGGAGCUCCAGCAGGAGAAUGCGCGAGCGGUGGGAAGAGGCACAUUGGCGGCGCUGGAGCGCGAUAACAGCGAUUUGUGUCUACGCUGCGAUUAUCUCGAGGCGCGACUGCAGCACACGUGCGGCGACUUGUGGCUGAUGCUCACGAACCCGCUGCCCCCCCCCUAUCGUGGCGCACUGCUGUGACCGGUCGACCUCCGCGAGCGCCACAGCCAAGCUACCAUGAAACCCCCAAGGCGACGCUCGGCUGCCGUUCUUGGUCCACACGGCCAACAUUAAACACGCAAUGGACCGCCUGAUCUUGCAGGAUGGGAGUGCCGGCAUCCACCUCAUCAACAGGUCCUGGCUCACUGUAGGCAGCGCCACUUUCGCCAUCAGCGUCAAUGAGAGCGCCUCACUGGGCCAGGUGCGCAAGGAUGGCAAGCACGACGCCCGUGAGUCUCGAGACGCAACACUGGAAAUGCAAUCAAGCUUCUUCUUGCAAUGGCCAGUCGGGGAGCUAUUUGACUUCGUGGUACCGGUCAAGGGCCGGAAGGCACGAGGGGAGGAGGACAAGUAUUUUGCCUACCAAAAUCCGCUGUACGACACCCCCGCGCUGGAGUUUGCAUCGCUCCAGCCAGCCAGAAUUGUGACGCUGAACGCGAAGAUCACAGCGGCGAUGCGGCUGAUGGGCGCUGAGCUAGCAAAAGAGCUGCGCGAGCACGCCGACCUGUCAGCUUCUCUGUAGGUGGCAUCGUCUCUCCGCGACGAGGUGGUCACCAGCGCAAAGGCGGCGGAAUUCUUCAAGGGUGCAUAGAACAGCGCCUCCCUUUCUGCGGCCGCCUUGAAUAGGUUGCAUGAGGACGUCGAUACUGCGUUGAUGGAGAACUGAAACGAACGCGCUGCGUGCCCGUCCGCAACGUGACUUUCAGUCGUAAAAGAGCGGCCAGGCGACACCGCCGGUCCGGCUUCUUGGAAGCAAAGCGCCUGCAGCUAAAAGGGAAAAGUCUUCUUGUCUCCUCGGCCAUUGUGCGCCGACUGAGUACUACCGUGGAUCUGCCCAACGUGAGUAUCAACGCCAAAGCACUGCGGAAGCGAGAUGUGCAGCACGUCAGUGCAACGGGUAUGUCAUUUUUCGAGAAGGGCGUGGAUGCCAGCGUGCUCGGCGAACUUCUCCUGCUCAUUGUGAAUGCUGUGCUGUCGACGGAUUACUGCAUUCAGUGGCACAUGCUUUCGACGACUGAAGUGGAGGGAAUGCGGCAGCAGUGUGUGCAGUGACGAGAGUAGACGGACAGGUGCGUAGGUGCUUUGGCCAGCCAGAUGCACUCAUCUAGUAGUACGUAGAAGGGCGAGGCGGCUGUGCAGCGCAAGCGCACGCCGCAGAGUCGGCGCAGCACGGGCAAGCCUCGAAGCGACAUGCGCGUGCUCAGCCCACCGGCGGCGCUGUCUGGCACUGCGUCCCGCAAGACAAGCCUCUCUCGCACCACCCCAAGUCACACGUCUUUGCCGCCGCGAAGCACUGGUGUUCUUGGCGGAAGCCGCUCGCGUCUCUCUCGAGCGCAGAUGCUAUUAAGACGCCGCACAGCCUGAGCUCCUUUGCGACUUUUCGAAAAUCGAGCGUGCCCUCUGCUACCUGCUCCGCAGCGGGGGCUCGCCUAUUGUGCUGGAAUUGUGCCUCUUUUCCAAUAGAUGCUGACAGGAUGAAGAACAUCGCCUCAGGCGGUACACGCCCCCUCCCCCUCCCCCAGUGGCGACCGCCGUUUCAGGACGUCGGAAAUUCUACAGCAGAGCGCGCUGCCGCAAGAAGCAGUGCGCCUCAGCUGCUGCUACUGUGCGGUUGGUUUCUGUUCGCUCUCUUCGCGGUUUUUCAUACGAGUAUCGUCUCUUCUCGCUGCUCCGCUUUCUUUCCUUUUUAUUCUCUGUCGUUCUCUUAUCGCGUUGAUCCGCCUAG
rnacentral:misc_RNA from 1 species